AAACCUAUGUUCUCCUUUCGCACCUACGC
rnacentral:sRNA from 1 species